rnacentral:rRNA from 1 species
AGCAGUCGCCGCGGGAAUACGGAGGAUCCAAGCGUUAUCCGGAAUCAUUGGGUUUAAAGGGUCCGUAGGCGGUCUUGUAAGUCAGUGGUGAAAGCCCAUCGCUCAACGGUGGAACGGCCAUUGAUACUGCAGGACUUGAAUUAUUGGGAAGUAACUAGAAUAUGUAGUGUAGCGGUGAAAUGCUUAGAGAUUACAUGGAAUACCAAUUGCGAAGGCAGGUUACUACCAAUUGAUUGACGCUGAUGGACGAAAGCGUGGGUAGCGAACAGGAUUAGAUACCCCUGUAGUCCCUGUCUCUUAUAU